rnacentral:rRNA from 1 species
AUACGUAGGGGGCAAGCGUUAUCCGGAUUUACUGGGUGUAAAGGGAGCGUAGACGGCGAUGCAAGUCUGAAGUGAAAACCCGGGGCUCAACCCCGCGGACUGCUUUGGAAACUGUGUUGCUGGAGUGCAGGAGAGGGGAGUGGAAUUCCUAGUGUAGCGGUGAAAUGCGUAGAUAUUAGGGGGAACACCAGGGGCGAAGGGGGCUCACUGGACUGUAACUGACGUUGAGGCUCGAAAGCGUGGGGAGCAAAAAGGAUUAGAUACCCUGGUAGUCCACGCCGUAAACGAUGAAUGCUAGGUGUCGGGGGGCAAAGCCCUUCGGUGCCGCCGCUAACGCAUUAAGCAUUCCACCUGGGGAGUACGUUCGCAAGAAUGAAACUCAAAUGAAUUGACGGGG